UACGGAGGAUGCAAGCGUUAUCCGGAAUGAUUGGGCGUAAAGGGUCCGCAGGUGGCAGUGUAAGUCUGCUGUCAAAGAAUGAGGCUUAACCUUAUCAAGGCAGUGGAAACUACACAGCUAGAGUACGGUCGGGGUAGAAGGAAUUCCUGGUGUAGCGGUGAAAUGCGUAGAGAUCAGGAAGAACACCGGUGGCGAAAACGUUCUGCUAGACCUGUACUGACACUGAGGGACGAAAGCUAGGGGAGCGAAUGGG
rnacentral:rRNA from 1 species